GACCAACAGGGAUUGCCCUAGUAACGGCGAGUGAAGCGGCAAGAGCUCAGAUUUGAAAUCUGGCGCCUUUGGCGUCCGAGUUGUAAUCUGUAGAGGAUGCUAUUGGGUAGCCACCGGUCUAAGUCCCCUGGAACGGGGCGUCGCAGAGGGUGAGAAUCCCGUAUGUGACCGGAAGGGCGCCCUCCACAUAGCUCCUUCGACGAGUCGAGUUGUUUGGGAAUGCAGCUCUAAAUGGGAGGUAAAUUCCUUCUAAAGCUAAAUACCGGCCAGAGACCGAUAGCGCACAAGUAGAGUGAUCGAAAGAUGAAAAGCACUUUGGAAAGAGAGUUAAAAAGCACGUGAAAUUGUUGAAAGGGAAGCGCUUGCAACCAGACUUGUUGGCGGUGUUCCGCCGGUCUUCUGACCGGUGUACUCACCGUCUGCAGGCCAGCAUCAUCUGGGGCCGCCGGAUAAAAGCGGGGGGAAUGUGGCUCCCUCGGGAGUGUUAUAGCCCCUCGUGCAAUACGGCGUGCCUCGGGUGAGGUCCGCGCUUCGGCUAGGAUGCUGGCGUAAUGGUCGUAAGCGGCCCGUCUUGAA
rnacentral:rRNA from 1 species